UUGACAAAAGCGCUAAUAUAUGAUAUAUGAUGUAUAAAACAUGUAAUAUACAAAUAAAUACCUGUAUAUAUAUAUAUAUGUAUAUAUAUAUAUAUAUAUAUAUAUAUAUAUAUAUAAAGUUAUAAAGAGAGAGUCAUGAAAAGGUGGAGUACCAGGCUGAAUGCAUACAGUAUCACCCUUCAGAUCCUGUCACUAGUGACUUAUUUUCCUCCUUCUGAUUAGCCUUUGAUAAAAUAAGAUGUUUUAAGGUAUUUUAAUUGAAAUUACUCUGCACCUCUCAUCAAAAAUUUCUCUUGGCCCAGGUCCAUUGAAAUUGUUCACUGUGAAGGGUAGGUAGAUGAAGAAAUUUAUUUACUUUUCUGUCUUAAAAAUUGGUAAAAUCUAGAGUUAAAUUGUAUCUAAAUAUUAUCUGUACCUAAUGUGCUGAAAGAUAUUAAAGAUAUGGGUUGGGUUUUAGUUUUAUUGUAUCAUAAGUUUUUUACUGCAGCUCUGGUCUUUAUUGAUUGUUGACUAUUGCUAAAUUUUGUUAGUUUAAAAAGCAUUCUUAAUGCAUUUUCUCUUUCAUUUUCUUCAUUUGUAACAGUAGUUGAGUUAGUCAUUAUGCAGAAACAUCCAUUCUAGGUAUUUAUUAAUCAUGUGCCUUACCAAUAUUUUUUUGGUCUUUGUUACAUAAUGAAAUCAAUUUUUUUAUAAACUUUUUCUAUAUUUAGAAAGCAUUCCAAAUUCUUUGUUAAGCCUUGUAAACUAUUUCCUCUUGCAACCCCUUAAUUGCCCUUUAACAUUGUAAACUGUCUACCUUGCAAAUAAGCACCUCAUGAUAAAGACCAUUCAAUCAGCUAAUUUUGUCUACUUCUUUAAAAUCCUCAGCAGUUAAUUCCAAAUAAAUGCAGUUUUCUUAAAAGUAUUGUUUUUCGCAGAAAAUUUUUUGCAAAACAGAAUGAGAUAGUGGAACAGAACAAAACUAUGGCCAAGUGUAAUAUUUGGAUACCUCAAUGAACAUAAAGAAUUUAAAAAAAACUUUAUAGGAAGUAGAAAAAGAACCUGAAAUUUUACUUCCUAUAAAUUAAAAAGUUAUUAGUCAUGUCAUAUUAGUCAUGUCAUACAAUCUAUAUAUUGUUUGCAUAGCAAAUGCUAUGGCCAGUAAAUGGAUAACAUUGCUUAGUCUGUUUGAAACAAUUAGGACCUGGCCAAUAGCAUACUUUCACCAUUGGGAACACUUGAAAAUUAAAAGGUAUAUUAACUUAAAAAAUUUCUAUUUCUGUCUUAUCUCAAUAUAAUUUGUGGAUCCUGCAAACCCUGUGACAGUGUCUGUCAUUCCAUUUGUUUUGCAUACCUUUUUUGUGCGUUUUUUUUUUCUUUUUUGCACAUUCCUAUUGACAUUCGAAACACUUGCAUCUGUCAGUUGUUAAACUGAAGUGUUUUCUCUGUAUUUCUACUUUCCUGAGAAUGAUAAACCUUUAGAUUUGUUUUCCAUAAUCAUUAGAGGUUGCUCAUGUAGUUUUUUUUCUUUUUUUUUUAAUUUAAAAAAAAGUUUUUCCAUUCCUAAUAAUUGUAUUUAUUAUUGGUAAAACUUUCAGGUUUAUUAUUUUUAUUUUUAGAUGAAAUUUUAUUAAUCAGUGUUGUGAAAACUUUAAGUAUAAAACUGUAGUUUUGUAUCUUUCCAUCCAUUCGUUUAUAUAUUUUAUAAUUAUUCAUAUCAUUCUUGGGUAAACUUGCACAUUUAUAACAUUUAUAUAUUUAAAUUACAUAGAAUAAGAACAUAAACGGUUAAAACAUUCCAGACAUAUCAACGAUGUAACAUAAUCUUUAACUCUUUUAAUAUCAACCUGCUUGUGCUAAUUAAUAUGUUCCUAUUUCAAUUAAAAUUGUGAUCAAAAUCUGACAUUUAGGUACAUUUUAAUAUUUUAUGAUAAUUCAAUUAGGUUGAUCCUAAUUUAUGAGCUUUCUCCACAAGCAAUAAACAUGUCUAUUUUCUCUAUGCAGUAUCUCCUCCGCCCUCUCUCUCAGCUGUAUAUGAUGUCAUAUGUGCUGUAAUUGAACAUUUUAGAGUGGGCAGGCUAUGAUCCUACACAUUUAUAACAACCACCCAAAUUAUAAUAAUAAUAAUAAUAAUAAUAAAAGAACAAGUGAUUUAAAGUUUUUUUACAUAUCAGUUCCGAAACCAUGAAUCUGUUCUACUGAAAAUAUAUCAUUCUAUAUAGUGGUGUAUUUCAGCUAUGCAGACUUAUUUGUGAUUCAAAUGUUUUAUUUCUUUUUCUCCCCCCCCCCUUCUAGCUUUUCUGUCUAUUUAUAGCUUAGUUUAAAUAUAACUUUUAUUUUUGCAUUAAUUUCAAUUCUCCGAUGUAUUUUAUUACUCUGAGAUGACAUUUUCUCGUAUAUUUGUGUGUGUACAUAUAUAUAUAUAUAUAUAUAAGACUGGGAUAUGUUGUACCAUUUUAAUUCUGUGUUACAUGUUUCAUUACAAUAUGGGAAUACAUUUUAUGAAUAUAUCAAUAAGUAAUAUAAUAAAUUCAUAACUUGUAGAACAUCUCCCAACUGUAAUGGAAUAUGCAGAUGUGCUUCAUGCGGACACAGCUUGGAUUAUAAUCCCUUCUGUGUGUGUGUAAAUAAAUGCACACGCACACAGACACUCACACCUUUCCAUUGGUGUUUUUUUAGUGGGUUAGUUUAGGUUUAAUUCUGUCUAUCAUAGUUGAUGUAUUUGUCUCUAGCAGAGACAAUGAAGCGCUAAACUUUAAAAAUCCCACCUGACUGCUUAACCUUUCAUGCCUACUACUACUACCCACACAACACACCGUUCCACCUGCCCUAAAAAAAAAAAAAGAAAGAUAAAAGUGUCAAUUACAAUCCUACAUCUCUGCCGCUUCUCUGACGCUGUUUACAUUCCAGUAUCU